GGGUUGUAAACCGCUUUUCGGGGGGAAGAGGAAGGACGGUACCCCCGGAAUAAGUCUCGGCUAACUACGUGCCAGCAGCCGCGGUAAAACGUAGGAGGCAAACGUUAUCCGGAUUUACUGGGUGUAAAGCGCGUGCAGGCGGUUUCGUAAGUCGUGUGUGAAAGCGCUCAGGCUCAACCGGGCGAGGCCAUGCGAAACUGCGGAACUGGAGGCAGGUAGAGGCGUGUGGAAUUCCGGGUGUAGUGGUGAAAUGCGUAGAUAUCCGGAGGAACACCAGUGGCGAAGGCGACACGCUGGGCCUGACCUGACGCUAAGGCGCGAAAGCAUGGGGAGCGAACGGGAUUAGAAACCCCGGUAGUCCAUGCCGUAAACGAUGCGUACUAGGUGUUGCGGUGUCAAAACUGCAGUGCCGGAGCCAACGUGAUAAGUACGCCACCUGGGGACUACGGCCGCAAGGUUAAAACACAA
rnacentral:rRNA from 1 species